rfam:Pan troglodytes isolate Yerkes chimp pedigree #C0471 (Clint) chromosome 9, whole genome shotgun sequence.
AUCAUUCAGGGACCUCAUUAAAAUGCAGAUUUUGAUUCAGUAGGUCUCCUAGGGCCUGAAAUUCUGCAUUUUAAGCAAGCCCCCAGGUGAUGCCAA